rnacentral:rRNA from 1 species
UACCAGCACCCCGAGUGGUCGGGACGUUUUAUUGGGCCUAAAGCAUCCGUAGCCGGUUCUACAAGUCUUCCGUUAAAUCCACCUGCUUAACAGAUGGGCUGCGGAAGAUACUAUAGAGCUAGGAGGCGGGAGAGGCAAGCGGUACUCGAUGGGUAGGGGUAAAAUCCGUUGAUCCAUUGAAGACCACCAGUGGCGAAGGCGGCUUGCCAGAACGCGCUCGGACGGUGAGGGAUGAAAGCUGGGGGGAGCAAACCGG